GUCAGACAGGGCCUUGGAAAAAGGGGAAGAGGGAGAGGAUUUCUGGAUUUGUAUGCAUCAGAUGAAGAGGCGAGUUCCUUAACGAGCCCAUCUAUGAUGAUGGUUCUAAAAAUGCAACAACAAAGUCUACUCCCGUUCAUUCAAGGAAGAAGGCCAGUGUAAAAUGUUCACCUCCUCAGAAGAGUUUACAGGAGGCAUGCAGCCCAAAAGUGAGGCCAACCCUGAAGCGUUCAUUGUCUGCUCCUGACAGUCCCGCCAGCGGAGGGGUCAACUUUGGGGUCACACGGGUUGUGUCUGGGCUCAAUAAAGGGGCCACAGAGGUCUAUAGUCACCAGUUUCAGCAACUCGGACAAGCUAGGGCCGUCUCUGUGCCCCCAAUAAAUAGCUGUAUUGCCAGUACAGGUCGUGAGAAGCUGAGUCGUUGGAUGCCCCGUGGCUGGUGUUUCCGCAGGUUCAACAAUAUGAAGUGUUUUUCUCUGCCAUGUAGCUUCAACCACGAGGAACCACCCACUG